GUAAUACUAUUUUUACUACCCAUUUGGUGAGACGUAUUUGCUAGGACAGUUUCUUCAUCUGGUACCAUUCUGUGCUUUGAUCUUAAAAGUCCAGAUUUUAUCUUUAUUUGAAACUGUAGCCUAUAAUAAUGUGGAUAUGAUAUUAAACCUACUAUAAUGCUUAAGGUUGUGUUGUUGGUAUUUUAUAAAGGUAGCUCCUGUGUCUUAUUUUGGUAAUACCUAUUGAUCUUUACUAAAACAUCUGCAUGUCUUAGACCUCCUAUUAGGACGGUUGAUUGGUUUGUUUCAAUCAUCCCAAUAGCUGACGUGACCAGGCUGUGAUCACUGGUUAUGAGUUACUAAGGCGGUUGGAAAUGGACUGUUCUCUGUGCCAGUGUCUCUACUACAUGAGCGAACACAGAACAAAAACACCUUGGUGGCUGUAUUUUCAUCUUAAUAACAAAUUAUCCAGAUUGGAGGUGCACAUAGCUCAAAUCUGAGAUAGUUGUCAUUUUUUACUUCAGUUUUUCCCAGAGUGAUCUGGUCUUAAAGUUUUGACCAGAGAAAUUACCAGCAGAUUGUGCAAAAUCAUUGUAGACAUUGCCUCAGAAGAAA
rnacentral:lncRNA from 1 species